GGGGAAAGUAAUUAUACAUUGUUUUAGUUGUGAUCCUUCAUUAAAGGUAUUUUUUAUUUUUUUUUAUCUAUAGAAACAUCUCCUGUUUCAUUUUUUUCAUUAAAUAUUUUUAUUUUUGGCGCGCGCAUACUACCUUUUAAAAUCCAAUAUACCUAUCAGUUCAAAGUCGCUUACUUCUAUCUAGCUGCCCAUUUCAUUACUCAGACUGGUUACCAAAAAUGUUUUCCUUAAUUAUCCUAGUCUCUAAGGUCACUUGUUUUAAUGGUGGCUUCACAUACCUUUGAUUAAUUAGGGUUGCUUACUCUGCCCUGCCUUAACCUAAUCAUUGUUGUAGAAAUUCCCGACACGUUGUGCCUCUGUUUACUUCAUGACAUACCACUACACCCUUUCUUAUAACAGAACACAGUUAUUCAUAUACAAUCCUGGUUGUGGUGCCGUACCAUCGGUUGGUGGCCUUGGAGGUGCUCAUGUACCCAUAGCGGUUUAUGCCAUUGCCUUGCCUGGCCUUCGUCCAACAUAGGUGAUGUCACAACAUGGCAAGCAAAUGUCUUAGUAACAGCACACUUCUCACAUUUGGUAAACUGGAAGCGUACCCACUCUUCACCUCCCUUUUUAAGUACUUCAUUAGUUAAAAUUGGUAUACUGGUGAGCGAUGUCCCAACUGGUCAUUACUGGAAUACAUUUUCUUUUCCUUUGCUUCUCUCUAACCGCUACGUCCUACUUUGCCCAAACUAAGCACAGUAUUGCAUGACUUUUACUUUUUAGGCGCAGUGGGUUGUUUGCUUCCUUGACAUUCUAUAUGACACUGUUGCGGCCUUACACACUGAGCAUUACUUGUAACUUAGUUGGACUGGAU